rnacentral:lncRNA from 1 species
UCGGUAUUGGCGACCGCCACUUUGUCCAUCCACACCCGACAAAGAUUGGUGAAUUUUUUUAUAUCCGCUCUCUAGAGCAUACAUAUCGUAUGCCAGCUGAAAGGAAGCACAAGUCAAGUCAAAUCAAAAAAAAAAAAAGAAGAAAUGAGUCGGAUAAAAGAAGAAAACUUACCCCAAGCAUCAUCGGAUAAAAAGAAAAGAACAUUUCAGACACUGUUCGAUCUUUUCGACUCUCCCUG